UACGAAGGGGGCUAGCGUUGCUCGGAAUCACUGGGCGUAAAGGGUGCGUAGGCGGGUCUUUAAGUCAGGGGGGAAAUCCUGGAGCUCAACUCCAGAACUGCCUUUGAUACUGAGGAUCUUGAGUUCGGGAGAGGUGAGUGGAACUGCGAGUGUAGAGGUGAAAUUCGUAGAUAUUCGCAAGAACACCAGUGGCGAAGGCGGCUCACUGGCCCGAUACUGACACUGAUGCGCGACAGCGUGGGGAGCAAACAGG
rnacentral:rRNA from 1 species